UACCCCUGGCACUGGUUAGAGAGACAACUCUUUGGUUGUGUUCUUCUCAUAUCAGUCAGGGGCAUAGCAGCUGUAUAGUACAAGUUCAUGCCAGCUUGACACUUUGCUGGGUGUCCAUAGAUGGCUCUUGCCUGGGCACACAA
ensembl:snoRNA